rnacentral:rRNA from 1 species
GAUGAACGCUGGCGGCGUGCCUAAUAUAUGCAAGUAGAACGCUGAAGGAGGAGCUUGCUCUUCUGGAUGAGUUGCGAACGGGUGAGUAACGCGUAGGUAACCUGCCUGGUAGCGGGGGAUAACUAUUGGAAACGAUAGCUAAUACCGCAUGACAACAGUUAUUGCAUGAUAACUGUUUAAAAGGGGCAACUGCUCCACUACCAGAUGGACCUGCGUUGUAUUAGCUAGUUGGUGAGGUAACGGCUCACCAAGGCGACGAUACAUAGCCGACCUGAGAGGGUGAUCGGCCACACUGGGACUGAGACACGGCCCAGACUCCUACGGGAGGCAGCAGUAGGGAAUCUUAGGCAAUGGACGGAAGUCUGACCGAGCAACGCCGCGUGAGUGAAGAAGGUUUUCGGAUCGUAAAGCUCUGUUGUAAGAGAAGAACGAGUGUGAGAGUGGAAAGUUCACACUGUGACGGUAUCUUACCAGAAAGGGACGGCUAACUACGUG